AUUGAACGCUGGCGGCAGGCCUAACACAUGCAAGUCGAGCGGAUGAAGGGAGCUUGCUCCCUGAUUUAGCGGCGGACGGGUGAGUAAUGCCUAGGAAUCUGCCUGGUAGUGGGGGACAACGUUUCGAAAGGAACGCUAAUACCGCAUACGUCCUACGGGAGAAAGUGGGGGAUCUUCGGACCUCACGCUAUCAGAUGAGCCUAGGUCGGAUUAGCUAGUUGGUGAGGUAAAGGUUCACCAAGGCGACGAUCCGUAACUGGUCUGAGAGGAUGAUCAGUCAGACUGGAACUGAGACACGGUCCAGACUCCUACGGGAGGCAGCAGUGGGGAAUAUUGGACAAUGGGCGAAAGCCUGAUUCAGCCAUGCCGCGUGUGUGAAGAAGGUCUUCGGAUUGUAAAGCACUUUAAGUUGGGAGGAAGGGCAGUAAGUUAAUACCUUGCUGUUUUGACGUUACCAACAGAAUAAGCACCGGCUAACUUCGUGCCAGCCGCCGCAGAAACAC
rnacentral:rRNA from 1 species